CCUACGGGAGGCUGCAGUGGGGAAUAUUGGGCAAUGGAGGCAACUCUUACCCAGCAAUGCCGCGUGAAUGAAGAAGGUCUUCGGAUUGUAAAGUUCUUUAAUUGGGGACGAAAAACAUGACGGUACCCAAGGAAUAAGCCCCGGCUAACUCCGUGCCAGCAGCCGCGGUAAUACGGAGGAUGCGAGCGUUAUCCGGAUUUAUUGGGUUUAAAGGGUGCGCAGGCGGAUUUUUAAGUCAGCGGUCAAAUCGUGGGGCUCAACCCCAUCCAGCCGUUGAAACUGGGGAUCUAGAGUGUGCGAGAGGUAUGCGGAAUGCGUGGUGUAGCGGUGAAAUGCAUAGAUAUCACGCAGAACCCCGAUUGCGAAGGCAGCAUACCGGUGCACAACUGACGCUCAGGCACGAAAGCGUGGGUAUCGAACAGGAUUAGAUACCCCUGUAGUC
rnacentral:rRNA from 1 species